GCUCCGGUAGCUCAGUUUGGUAGAGCUUUGAUCUUAUGAGGAUACGCGUCCUGAUGCCAGUCAACGGCCGUGGGUUCGAUCCCCACCCGGAGCA